UACGGAGGGGGCUAGCGUUGUUCGGAAUUACUGGGCGUAAAGCGCACGUAGGCGGCUUUGUAAGUUAGAGGUGAAAGCCCCCGGCUCAACCGGGGAGUGGGGCUGGAAACUGGGUUUCUUGAGGGCGAUAGAGGAGUGUGGAAUUCCUGGUGUAGCGGUGAAAUGCGUAGAGAUCAGGAGGAACACCCGUGGCGAAGGCGGCACUCUGGGUCGGCCCUGACGCUGAGGCGCGAAAGCGUGGGGAGCGAACGGG
rnacentral:rRNA from 1 species